rnacentral:rRNA from 1 species
UACGAAGGGGGCGAGCGUUGUUCGGAUUUAUUGGGCGUAAAGAGCGUGUAGGCGGCCAGAUAGGUCCGUUGUGAAAACUGGAGGCUUAACCUCCAGCUGUCGAUGGAAACCAUCUGGCUAGAGUCCGGAAGAGGAGAGUGUAAUUCCUGGUGUAGCGGUGAAAUGCGCAGAUAUCAGGAAGAACACCCGUGGCGAAGGCGGCUCUCUGGGACGGUACUGACGCUGAGACGCGAAAGCGUGGGGAGCGAACAGG